CUAGUAACGGCGAGUGAAGCGGCAACAGCUCAAAUUUGAAAUCUGGCUCUUUCAGGGUCCGAGUUGUAAUUUGUAGAGGGCGCUUUGGUGUUGGCUGCGGUCUAAGUUCCUUGGAACAGGACGUCACAGAGGGUGAGAAUCCCGUACGUGGUCGACAGUCUUCACCGUGUAAAGCCCCUUCGACGAGUCGAGUUGUUUGGGAAUGCAGCUCUAAAUGGGAGGUAAAUUUCUUCUAAAGCUAAAUAUUGGCCAGAGACCGAUAGCGCACAAGUAGAGUGAUCGAAAGAUGAAAAGCACUUUGGAAAGAGAGUCAAAAAGCACGUGAAAUUGUUGAAAGGGAAGCGCUUGCAAUCAGACUUGCCUGUAGUUGCUCAUCUGGACUCUUGUCCGGUGCACUCUUCUGCGGGCAGGCCAGCAUCAGUUCAGGCGGCUGGAUAAAGGCCUCUAUCACGUAUCUUCCUUCGGGAUGACCUUAUAGGGGAGGUGUAAUGCAGCCAGCCUGGAUUGAGGUCCGCGCAUCUGCUAGGAUGCUGGCGUAAUGAUUGUAAGCGGCCCGUCUUGAAACACGGACCAAGGAGUCUAACAUCUAUGCGAGUGUUUGGGUGUCAAGCCCGGACGCGCAAUGAAAGUGAACGGAGGUGGGAACCCUCACGGGUGCACCAUCGACCGAUCCUGAUGUCUUCGGAUGGAUUUGAGUAAGAGCAUAGCUGUUGGGACCCGAAAGAUGGUGAACUAUGCCUGAAUAGGGUGAAGCCAGAGGAAACUCUGGUGGAGGCUCGCAGCGGUUCUGACGUGCAAAUCGAUCGUCAAAUUUGGGCAUAGGGGCGAA
rnacentral:rRNA from 1 species